GUAAAAGAUUUUCAUAGCAAUCUUCAUUGAAGAAUAAAGAUCACCCAAAGAAAGAUGACAAAACAUGAGAGAAUGAUCCGGUAGAGAAAGAUUGAGAAAGACUUCUAAAGCACUCAGAUGGCAUAUCUGGACUACAGAAAGACUUUCUGUACAUAUCUGUGCAUGUGAUACUUGAAGAGUAGCUGAAGACGAUCAUGAGAAUAAGGUUUCUCACCUUAUCAGCUACCAGCUAUUCUUGACUCCUGGGCCAAGAGGAUCUACUUUUCAUGAACUCAAAAGGUGUCCCCUAGGUGACAGAUUCUUUCAGCAAUUCCUUAUAUCCUCAAAAUUUAUCUUUUGUUCUCAAAGUCAGGAAGACCUUUUGGGCUUAGUUUUCUGUGUGUACCAGGGAAUUGUAAUUUUGCAAUGCAAAUAAUCUGUGUGAUUCCAAAUGCAAGUGAAUGAUCAUUGUU